ensembl:lncRNA
CUUGAAGUUCCAGCGUAGCUCUGGUAUGUUUAAAUGGCUUUCUGAACAGAGAUGAAUGGAAGUCUACACUUAACAGGUAUCAUUGCCGGAAAAGUUGAGUUCUGCACAAAACACAUUCAACUCAGUGGAACAAUAAUACAAAGGAAGAAUGGCACCAUAGAGAAAAUGAGUCAGGCAUAACCUUUCAGUACCAGAGGACUUGACUAUUCACUCCCAUUGCACCUGCAGUAUAACCAGUAAAGGCUAGUGGAAGAUAUUACUGUUUUCAAAACACAUCUUGUGUACAGGUAUCUUGAGAUAGUACCUCAUAUGUCAAGGAGAAAAUGCAGCAGUAGUGCAUUUCACCAAUGCACAGGACGUAAAGGCUGACUGGACCACGGCCAAACAGCCUUGGCACAAAUGUCACAGGUAAUCCUGAAGACCCUGGCACAAGUUUUGCAGCCACGUGUCAGUACUGCAGUGUUACCAGCAUAUUCUUCAACAGUCAGCAUACAAACACAUACAGAGCCUUAUUAAUAUUCUUGAUCCUUUAUAACGAUGUUGUUUUGGACAAACAGGAGUGGAUGUCUGUGUGCAUUUCAGCAUCCCAAAGAGAUGCAUAAAUGAAGCCUGCUCUACGAGUUCUUAUUUCUCAUCAGGUAGAUCCAAAGGGAAACAACAGAGGAAGGGACAGACUUGGCCCCCUCAUCUUAUGAUGCUGGAAUUUCUUACAAGAGGAACUGUGAUACUACAAUCUUCUUCAAAUUGUGUUCUGGAGCAUGCGACUUGGCGAUGAGCACUGACUGAUAUUACACUUGCAUUAUUUACAACUCCUUAAAAGGCUGGUUUCAAUUAUUCUUUUAGUUACUAUGGCAAUCUAGGAGACCUUUUCAGCCUCCAGCUUUUCUGAGUGAGGAAUGAACUGUUGCUUCAAAGCAAUUUCAAUAUUGCUACAGGAGAUUAUUCAUGAUUUUUUUAAAAAUCUUUCCUUCUAAUACUCACUUGGCUGGUAACACAUUAGAUUGCUCUCAUCAGGAGUGGUAACUUCAACAUGAUAAUUCUGGCAUCAGUUCUGCAGACAGCAUGUGUUAAAGAUGCUCAGACAACUUUCACCCUCCUGUGUAAUGAUGUAAAUCUAGAUGUCUUCCAUAUCAGACCAUGAAGGUACUCCUGGUGAAUAAAAUAUGAGGAUAAAAGUCGAUUUUAUUUUAAUACUAUAAGGUUACCAUAGGGUUGGUUGGUUGUUUUAACACGUUCACGUCUUUGUUGGAGGACUUACACUGGAAGGAACAUUUGCAGAUGCCUUUUUUUCUGUUGAGGCUUUUGACAAGUGCUUACAAUUACUACCACGGAACUUCACUGAAUAGUACUCAACAUUGGUACAUAGUGUUAAAAUAUUACUCUAUGAGUCAGUGCAACCUGAAUGCAAGUCGUAUAUACAUAUAUAUAUCUAGUGAGGCUUAAGAAGGUACUUCUGUCUCUAUGCUCUUCCACUUGCCUGCUGUUCAGAUAUUUCAGUUCUUUACUGGGUCUGGUGGAAUUUUGUGAUCCAUCCACAAGUCUUCAGGGAAACCAGAUUGAACUACUUCUUUUCUUACGUGAAUGCCAGUGGAUAUAAGUAGACAGACAUGACUCUCAGCGUUGAUUAGAAACCAUGAUGUUAAUUAAAAUACUUAUCUUACGAUGUUAUUCUUUUAUGUUUUCCCCAAGUUUGUAAAGGUAGAGGCACUUAAGUACACAGGGGAUUUAGAAAGGUUUUGCAAUCAAAUCAUUUCUCUUUGUCCAGUCUUCUGUAUAUACUACACGGAAAAUGUCACAAUAACAUAACAUUAAGUUUGUGCAUACAGUCAUGUUGUAGUGGUACCCUCCACCUCAGAGUUUCAGUUGGGUGAACUUGUUUCUCCAGCUUUUAAAUCUACUUACUGUGUAACAUCAUAAUGUAAGUAAAAUUCCAGUUGAC